rnacentral:rRNA from 1 species
AUUGAACGCUGGCGGCAGGCCUAACACAUGCAAGUCGAGCGGAUGAAGGGAGCUUGCUCCUGGAUUCAGCGGCGGACGGGUGAGUAAUGCCUAGGAAUCUGCCUGGUAGUGGGGGAUAACGUCCGGAAACGGGCGCUAAUACCGCAUACGUCCUGAGGGAGAAAGUGGGGGAUCUUCGGACCUCACGCUAUCAGAUGAGCCUAGGUCGGAUUAGCUAGUUGGUGGGGUAAAGGCCUACCAAGGCGACGAUCCGUAACUGGUCUGAGAGGAUGAUCAGUCACACUGGAACUGAGACACGGUCCAGACUCCUACGGGAGGCAGCAGCGGGGAAUAUUGGACAAUGGGCGAAAGCCUGAUCCAGCCAUGCCGCGUGUGUGAAGAAGGUCCUCGGAUUGUAAAGCACUUUAAGUUGGGAGGAAGGGCAGUAAGUUAAUACCUUGCUGUUUUGACGUUACCAACAGAAUAAGCACCGGCUAACUUCGUG